rnacentral:pre_miRNA from 1 species
CCUGAAUUUGUUUGUGUGCUGGACAGAACCCAUCUCUAGCACCAUUUAAAUUCAGCAU